GACGUAGGGCGCGAGCGUUGUCCGGAUUUAUUGGGCGUAAAGAGCUCGUAGGCGGCUUGUCGCGUCGACUGUGAAAACCCGUGGCUCAACUGCGGGCCUGCAGUCGAUACGGGCAGGCUAGAGUUCGGUAGGGGAGACUGGAAUUCCUGGUGUAGCGGUGAAAUGCGCAGAUAUCAGGAGGAACACCGGUGGCGAAGGCGGGGCUCUGGGCCGAUACUGACGCUGAGGAGCGAAAGCGUGGGGAGCGAACAGG
rnacentral:rRNA from 1 species